rnacentral:rRNA from 1 species
AUUGAACGCUGGCGGCAGGCUUAACACAUGCAAGUCGAGCGAGCGGCGGACGGGUGAGUAAUGUCUGGGAAACUGCCUGAUGGAGGGGGAUAACUACUGGAAACGGUAGCUAAUACCGCAUACCAUCAGAUGUGCCCAGAUGGGAUUAGCUAGUAGGUGGGGGAAUGGCUCACCUAGGCGACGAGCCGUAGAGGGUCUGAGAGGAUGACCAGCCACUCUGGAACUUGGACACGGUCCAGACUCCUACUGGAGGCAGCAGUGGGGAAUAUUGCACAAGGGGCGCAAGCCGGAUGCAGCCAUGGCGCGUGUGGGAAGAAGGCCUUCGGGUUGUAAAGCACUUUAAGCGAGGAGGCGUUACUCGCAGAAGAAGCACCGGCUAACUCCGUGCCAGCAGCCGCGGUAAUUC